UACGGGAGGCAGCAGGGGGAAUAUUGCACAAUGGGCGAAAGCCUGAUGCAGCUAUGCCGCGUGUAUGAAGAAGGCCUUAGGGUUGUAAAGUACUUUCAUCGGGGAGGAAAAAACAAAACUAAUAAUUUUAUUUCUUGACGUUACCCGAAAAAGAAGCACCGGCUAACUCCGUGCCAGCAGCCGCGGUAAUACGGAGGGUGCUAGCGUUAAUCAGAAUUACUGGGCGUAAAGAGCACGUAGGUGGUUUUUUUAAAGUCAGAUGUGAAAUCCCUGGGCUUAACCUAGGAACUGCAUUUUGAAACUGAAAUACUAGAGUAUCGUAGAGGGAGGUAGAAUUCUAGGUGUAGCGGUGAAAUGCGUAGAUAUCUGGAGGAAUACCUGUGGCGAAAGCGGCCUCCUAAACGAAUACUGACACUGAGGGUGCGAAAGCGUGGGGAGCAAACAGGGAUUAGAUACCCGU
rnacentral:rRNA from 1 species